GCCAUCUAUUUCCUCUUUUUAGUCUCCUAACUAGGAGGAAAGAAGGUUGGUUUUAAGGGAUUUAGCAGGAAGGAGCUUACAAACCAUGUUGCCAGUUCUUGAAACUAUCCCACAGGCCCCAGGUAGGUUCCCUGUAGGCCUGUUUCUCUCUGGGCAUUAAAUAAUUCUCUUGUGCUUCUAAUGGAUCGCAUGAUUUUAUUUCUUAAGAAACUUGAGAAAGUGUACAGCUUUGGAACUUUGUCCACCACUCAGUCAUCUGCCCACCUAGGAGCUUUUGUGAUCAAGUCAAAAUCACAGCGUUAACCACUGGGCCUCAGGGCAGUACCCGCAUCCUCAGAUGAUUGUUGUUGUACACAGAAAAUGAGGGAAUACAGCUAAGACGAAUACCAGGGAGCUCCCACAUGGCAGUUCCAUUUUCAUUCCUUCAUAAAAAUCCAUAAUAACUCAUGGUUAGCAAUCAACACAAUCACUGUGCUACACCAUAAACCACACAUUCUGAUCGACAGAAGGGAUCAAACAAGCAAAAGGAACUGCUCUAAACUCCCUCCUGCUUUUGCUUUUUGGCUGAUGCAAUCAGUGACACUUGGAGGAGGGCGAUGCUUUCACCUCUAUUGGAAAUGGUUUAAUACCUGGUGUAUAAGUCUUGCCUGAUGUCCAAUCUGAUGCAGCGUC
rnacentral:lncRNA from 1 species